AGCAGCCGCGGUAAUUCCAGCUCCAAUAGCGUAUAUUAAAGUUGUUGCAGUUAAAAAGCUCGUAGUUGAAUUUCGGGAUUAAUUUACUGGUCGUGCUAUUGUACGUACUGGUUUUAUUGAUUCCUCCCUUCUGACGAACUAUGAUGUCAUUAAUUUGGUGUCAUAGGGAAUCAGGACUGUUACUUUGAAAAAUUAGAGUGUUUAAAGCAGGCUCACGCUUGAAUACAUUAGCAUGGAAUAACGGAAUAGGACGUUUGAUUCUAUUUUGUUGGUUUCUAGGAUCGACGUAAUGAUUAAUAGGGAUAGUUGGGGGCAUUAGUAUUCAAUUGUCAGAGGUGAAAUUCUUGGAUUUAUUGAAGACUAACUACUGCGAAAGCAUUUGCCAAGGAUGUUUUCAUUAAUCAAGAACGAAAGUUAGGGGAUCGAAGACGAUCAGAUACCGUCGUAGUCUUAACCAUAAACUAUGCCGACUAGGGAUCGGAUGAUGUUAAUUUUUAAUGACUC
rnacentral:sRNA from 1 species